rnacentral:misc_RNA from 1 species
CUGCUCGCACCCGCUUGGUAAAAGGCGUGCAACGCUGCUGCCGCCGCUGAUCUCCCUUCAAGGCCUUCACUCACGCUUCUACUGCCGUCUACACAAUGCGGCUGCUUACGCAUAACUUUCUCGCCUGCCUGAAGUGCGACACGUACCCCCUCCAUGUGACCGCCGCGGAGAUGGAGGAGAUUCCGGUGGAGUACGACGCCGAGUUCACGCGCCGCAUGCUGGCGCGUGUCGACUACGCAAGUCUGCGCACCACUUUUCACGCACUGCGCGAGGCGCACGAGUUGGUGCGUGGGCUGUCCCACGACGAGGGCGCUGAUACGGCCGAGGCGGCGUCGGCAUCUUCUGAGCUGCCAGAGACGAUGGAGGGCGCUGAUUUCAGCGACCACAGCGCGUUCCUACGCACGGUGCACUACGCCAUGAACGUCGUGGCGGUGCGCAACGGCACACUGGAGUGUCCGGCGUGCAAGACGACAUUUGCGAUUAACGAUUUCAUUCCAAACUUCGUGCCGGAGGCGAAGUAGUGUGCAUCGCUGAGUGAGCGAGUGCGUCGACGUGCCUCUCUCCUUCCUUCCCCGCCCUCUCCGGAUCAUCGCCGUCUUCUCUUCAAGCUUUCGCCUGUCUCCCCGCUGUUGCCUCGUGCAUGAGUGAGGGGGUGAAGGCCAUGUCACGACGGGUAUGGCGUGGCUUGUGGCGUGUGGCGAGUGGCGAGGCCGUGUGUGUGCGCGCUCAGAUGCGCUCUUCUCUGUACUUAAAUACCUUUUAGCCGAGGCGUUCAUGUAAUCGCGUAAGCCGUCUCGGAUAAGGUUCGCCGACACACACAGACACACACACACACACACACAGCAGCAGCAGCAGCAGCAAGCAUGCACCCAACCACCGACAGGCGCAAAUUGACAGAGAUCGAUCCCGUCUCUCUCUCUCUCUCUCUUCAUUCGCCCGUUAUGAUCCUCCUCAUGUGCGCGUGCGCGUGGGGGGGGGAAGGCGAGCGAGAGAAGGAAAAUGUAGGGCACGGGCGCCCUCAAAGGCUAAGAUUUAGUAGAUCUUCGCAUGUGCGACAGCAAUAACGAGUAGUCCCUGGGAGUCGUGAGUGUGCGCGCUUGUGGCGAGCACACCCAGUUACCUGCGUGGCAGCUGCUGCUGCCCCUGUGAAGCAUCCCUCCCAGACUCCCUCCAUCAGUAAUGAUCGGUUGCGGGCUCGCAGAACGGACCCACUGUUCCCUCUCCCUCUUUCCUCACAUCCGCCUCGCCAUCCCCUUCCACGCCUCUCCCGUCCGUCUGUUCCGUCCAUUUUUCUGUUGCUGCUGCUAUUCUGCUGCUGCUCGUGCGCUUCUCCUUCCUGUCUCCACCCACCGCCAUGCUUCACACGGGCAUGCCUGUUGUGCUAG